rnacentral:lncRNA from 1 species
GUCUUCUUCCAAAGAAGAGCCUUUGGUAUUUGGCAGAGCCUCGCCAAUUUGGGGCGCACCUCCCCUUCCUGGGAUGCUCUCAGAAGGCAAACCAAUUCCCAGAAGAGAGGGAAAAACAGCCACAACAGAGAGAACCUUUGCUGUCCCUGUUUGGAAAGAGAUUGGGAUUUCCUGGAGAGGGCUUGCUUCUACUGCAGGUUUGUUUAAAAGCUCAACAUCUAUUCUGGAAGAGAACAACGCAGACUCCAGGAAGAUGGAGAAAAGGCAUUUGCUGCCCAAGGUAGAAUCCCAUCACCAUACUCCUUUCCUACAUCCAAUCACAAAAUCAGAAUAUGCCAAUUCUCUAUUCCCAAGCGUGUCAUUUUGGAAUGUGUCUUGCUGCUCUUCUCAUCAAAGGUAAAGUCCUCUUCUUCACCUUUUAACCUAGAGUAGCUGUGCAACUUUCUUUGACCAAUCAAAUAUGGUGGAAGUGAUGUUGCGUGACUUCCAGAUAUAAGUCUUAAAGAGAUUUUUCACUUUCUGCUUUCACUCUCUUGGAAUGUUGCCCUGAGAUCACCACACCAUGAAGAAGUCUGGGGCGAAAGGCCAUGUGGAGUGAGAGGCUCAGCUUCCCAGAUGAUCUCACUGAGCACAGCCCCCAGCCACCUGCCAGCUCAAUGCAACCUGGUGAUGGACCCAAGCAAAUACCAGCAGAAGAAUCACCUGGUCAACCCACAGAAUCAUGAGAAAUACUAAUUUGUUGUUGUCUUAAGCCACAGGGUGAAGACUAUAUUUGCUCACAUAAAUUGUGUCCUUAUAACAGAAAAAGCUUCUUAGGGCUGGUGCGGUGGCUUAUUCCUGUAAUCCCAGCACUUUGGGAGGCGGACGCAAGCAGAUCACUUGAGUUCAGGAGUUCUAGACCAGCCUGGCCUACAUGGUGAAACCCCGUCUCCACUAAAAAUACAAAAAUUAGACAGGCAUGGUGGUGCAUGCCUGUAAUCCCAGCUACCUGGAAGGCUGAGGCAGGAAAAUUGCUUGAACUUGGGAGGCAGAGGCUGCAGCGAACCAAGAUGGGACCACUACACUCCAAACUGGGUGACACAGUGAGACUCCAUCUAAAAAACAAACAACAACAACAAAAGAAAAAGCAUCUCAGAAAAACGUUCCCCUUUUUCAUUGAUUCCAUGCAAAUGAUACUUCACCCUAUUGUUUACUUGUCCUGAAAUUUCAAAGCAGCAGAAAUUCUGCUAUACAUUAUCCUUUUAUCUGGUAUUUAUUGAAAAUGUAUUUGGCUAUGAUUUGAAAUAUAUAACAUAGUGUCAGGUUUAUUUUCUCAUGUAACGAGUCAAGAAGUAGGUGGUUGCUGCCUUUCUUUCAGUUAUUCAACACUAUAAUCAAUCACUGUCUUGUCUUUUUAUAUUUCUGUUCGCUAUCUUCUAUGUGUUGGGUUUCCUUCCCGGUGGGUGUCAUAUCAGGGUCACAAAAUGGCUGCUAUUGCCCAGUAAUACUCGAAUGCUCGAGCGAGGGCAGGAUGGAGGGAGGGGCUGCUAGCUGUAUCUGUCUCCUUUUGUCAGAAAAGCAAAAGCUUUCCGGGAAGCUCUCCUAGCGGCGACUCCUUACAUCUCAAGGCCACAAAUUUCAAAGAGUGGAAAAGCAGAAAACAAGAUUCUCAUUUUUGGCACCAUUGUGAGACAUUGCCUAGGAAAGGCAUAUUGACAAUUCAAACAAAAUCUUAAAUUCUAGUAGCAAAGGACACAGAGGAAUGAAUAUUUGGUACGGGACAGAAAGGAUCUGCCUAAAUGCCCUAGUUCAUUUGAAUGUAAAAUUCUUAAAGGCUGGGAUUGUGCCUGUUCUCUUCUUUGUGUAUAGGACUCAGAUCAUAAGAAAAAUCUUUGACACUACAAAUUCUAUACACUAAGGCAGUAUCCCCAAAUUUCAUUCAAUUUUUCUAAUAUGGGGGUGCUACUGAGCACAAAACUAGAAAGAGAUUAUAAAUAUACAUAUUCUUGGUCAGUUUAGACUACUAUAGCAAAAUAUGAUGCACUAGGUGGUUUAAAUGAUCUCCUCUUAGGGCCCUUGCUGUGUCCUUGUAUGGUGGAGAGACAGUUCUCUGGCCUCUCUUCUCUUCUUAUAAGGCCACUAAUUCCAUCAUGGGGACUUCACCCUCACGUCCUGAUCUAAACCUGAGCACCCCCCAAAGGUUCCACAUUCAAAUACCAUCACACUAGAGGUUAGGGCUUCAACAUAUAAAUUUGGGGGAAGAUAAGCGUUUAGACCAUUAUUUAUUUAUAUGUUAAAAAUAAUAUAGAAUAUUCCCAGAAGUCAAUUUUUGCUCCAUGUAUUAGAAUACUUAUUAAACCUUCCUAUGCCCAGCAAAAUUGUAGACACUGAAAAAAUACCAACAGAAAAUGGUCCAGCUUUUAAUGCAUUUAAGCUGAAAUAAGAAGUGGUGAACACAGAUCCAAAUUGAACUAAAAUGUUAUGUAAUCUAUAAUAGCAACCUUUUAUCUGGUGUCUAUUAUGUGAUAAUGGUAUAACGUACUUUAUCUAAUCUUCACAACAACACUGCUAGGUAGUUAUUAGCCUCAUCUUAAGUGUUAGAAAACAGAGAACACUGAGAGGCUAAGAAAUUCAUUCAAGGCCACCCAGGGCAUAAGCAGUGGAGCUGAAGUUUGGACAAGAUUUCUUUUUCUCCCCAAGCCAUGCUUGCACAUAAUGCACAUACCACUACAUGCUGAUUAAUUCAUUUUAUGAAUAAAAUCUUCCCUCUUAUAAUUCUGCUUUGUUUUUAUGCUUUUUCAUUCCUAGCUUUCUCACUGGUGACUUAUGUGGAUGAAUCAAUGGGAACAAGGUCAGAUCAUGGACAGAUGAGAAAAUAAUGAGACAUUAGAUUAUUAAGAGAGAUGAAGUUAAGAGUGAGAGGUGAAUGAAAGGGAAGAAGGGGUGAAAGCUCAGGAUUAUGAAGGGAAUAAACAGGAAAGAGGAGAGAGAAGAAGAGAAUGAAUACUACCCAGAUAUUUCUCUGGGCACUGUGGAUCUGAUGGAAUGGUGGUAUCCCACCCUGUAACCCUGUCUUCUCUGAUCUCUGGCCAAGUGUGUGGCUUGGCACUGCACAACUAACAGUUAGCAGCAUUCUGGGGAGAGGCUCAUGGUAGUGACCAAAUUGCACUUUCCCUAGCUAUUCUUGUGUUCUAAUCCUCCCCUGAAGGUCUUUUAUGGUUAAUCUCAAACCAUAUAAAUAUUUAACUCUCCUUUUAGUUACAUUGCAGAAGCCUGUUCUCAAACAAGUAUAAGUUUCAGUAACCACAAAUUGAUACUAAUCUACCCUAAUGUCACUGUGUUCCUCUUCUUCAAGUGAGUUGAAAGCAUGGAUCCAUACAAUUUGUCUUGUUCAGUUUGUACCUACUUGUAUCUUCCAUUAACAGAGCAUAGACUCUCAGGUAUGGAGAACAGAUUAAGAUCCAAUUACUCAGCCAAAAUUUCAAUCCACCUCUCUCCAGGACAUUUUUUUGUUUUUGUUUUUGUUUUUCUUUAACAUCCUCCAAACUGGUAGUAUAGCUAUAUCGAGUACUUCCAGUCCAUGGAACCUAACACUUCCUCAAGUAGUCCUUUCCAUGCUUAGACAACUUCGACUUUAGAGUGUGGUUUCUUAUUUCACCAGUCAGGAUAGCUAAGCUGUUCUGCAGUAACAAACAGCCCUAAAGUGUCAGCUCUAAUACAACAGAGGCUUUCUUUUUUUUUUUUUUUUUUUGGCUAACAUUAUGUGCCUAUCAAAUCAGCUUGGCUCUGGUAUAUAUUGAUAUCCAUCUGGGAUCCUGGCUGAGGGAGAAGCCCCUCUCUGGGACAUUUCUGAUCUCAUGGCAGAGGAAAAGAGGUCCUGGAGGAUCGUAUACUGGCCAUUAGAGCUUCCACAUGUCAUUAGCCAACAUGCAUCACAUGGAGUCAUCCCACAGAGAAGGACAGGGCCAGGAGCAAGACAACCCAGAGAACAGCCGUAAAUAUCUGGAAUAACAGUGCAAUGUACCACAUAGUUAUUGAGUCAAAUCCUUUUCCAAGUCAUAUCCCUCCUUCCCCAUUGCCUUUUCUCUUUACCAGCUCUACAAAUGUUAGGAAUCCUUAGCCAUGUUUUCUUCGAGCUGUCUUUCUUCUAGUCUAAUUGGCUCCAAUUCCUCCACUGACCUGUUCCCUGUAUCUAGUGGUCUUAUCUGACAUUCUCUUGAGCCUUUUCAGCUGUCUCAAGUCAACUGGUGAGAGAAUUGUUGGUCUAUUCUCCAAAGGAAGUGGUCCCUUGACAUACUUUCCUUUAGGAUGAUGGGUUUGGCGAUGUGGCUGAGCCUUCUAGACAAAAAAAGCUUUCCUUAAACAAUAUCUCAACUAAUCAGUCUCCAAAUAUUUUAGUAGCUUAAAUCUUUAGGCUUUUCACAAAUGCCCAGACACUUUGCCUGUUAUAUAUUAGAAUGUAGAGAUGUUUGAGCACUUCCAGAGGGCAAAUGUCACAUCCCUGACUAUACUUUAGGUAACUUAGCAAUAUAUAUACAUGGUUGUAUUGACAAAACUCCUCAAGCCUACUAUUUUUUCAUAGGACUGGCUCAGAAUGUGGACUUUGGAAAUAACCAGUCUUGGAUCAAACCCUGAUUCCACUCAGUACUACCUAUACGACCUUUGACAAGUUAAUUAAUCCUGAGCUCUUAUUUCCUCAUCUAAUGAGAUACAGACAAUAAGAGUUAUCUUUCUCAUGUGGCUGUUGAGAGGAUUAAAUGACAACAGUGGGGCUCAAUCAGUGUCUUCUUUUGUUACCAUACUGGGGUCCUAGCACUCAGAGCUAUUUCUGGUCUUACUCAAGGACCAGGUCCUCUAGCAUCCCUGGGUUUACCAUGGUUAUGCAUAGCUCCCUCCUCUCUCCCAGGUGUCCUUCUCUCCUCCUGAAAUGUUUCAGCCUCAAGUCAGCAUCAUCCGAGCUUGACCAGUAUCUCUCAAGGUGUUGUCCAAGAACAAGCUGCACUGGAAUCACCUGGAGGCCCACGUGGCUCCAUUUCAGACUAACUGACAGAGUUAGAAGAUGAAACUAGUAAAUCUGUAUUUUAACAAGCUUCCCCCAGCUAGAGGUGCCAGAUAAAUUAUAGGACAUCCAGUUAAAUUUGAAUUUCAGAUAAACAAUGAACAAUUUUCAGUAUAAGUAUGUCUGUCCCAUGCAAUAUUUGGAACAUACUUAUACUAAAAAAAAAUUUAUUAUUUAUCUGAAAUUCAAAUUAAAUGGAGUAUCCUGUACUUUUAAUUGCUAAAUCUGGCAAACAAAUCUCAGGGAUUCCAAUUCUUACUAAAUUUGAAGACCACUGGUUUAAGAUAUUUGGCAAAAAUCUCAAAUUCAACUUCAUGAGCUUCCAAGGAGGGAGGGAGGGAAAGAACGAAGGAAGGAAGGAAGGAAACGAAAGGAAAGGGAAGGGAAGGAAGGAAGGAAGGAAGGAAAUGAAAGGAAAGGGAAGGGAAGGGAAGGGAGGGAAGGGAGGGAAGGAAGGGAAGGGAGGGAAGGGAAGGAAGGGAAGGAAGGGAAGGAAGGGAAGGAAGGGAAGGAAGGGAAGGAGAGAAGGAGGGAGGAAGGAGAAGAGAGGAAAGAAAGAAAGGAAGAAAGAGACAAAGAGAGGAAAGAAAAGCAAAGCAAGCGAAGCUUAUAGACGGAACACAGAUGGCCCAUGCAUCCACAAAACAAAUAUGCACAAGACCAAGUAGGUUAGCAUUUGUUUCAGCAGCCACAGUGGCAAACAUAGACAAUCCAGCAGCCAGAGAAAAAUCCACUUCCUUGUUUCUCUAGUUUGGAAUUGGGCUUUAGGUGUCUCUGUCUCCUUCUGCUGCUUUCUCCUUUUUUUUUUUUUUUUUUUUUUUUUUUUUUGUCUAAACAUCUCCAUGCUAUGCUAGCCAACACCUACUCAUCCUCAUUUGGUAUUUCCUCUUUUGCUUUUUUGCUUUCCUACAAAGCAUCUUGGGCCCAUCCUCCUCUGUCUGCCCCAAACAUCAGAAUACCUAAUCAAAUAGUCAUAUAGCCAUCUUUCUCCCUCUAAUAUUAAGUGUGGACUCCCUCAAUUUUAGUUUUCUGAUGGGAUUUUCCUAAUUCUCAAACCAUUCUGUCUUAUGUGUACUAGAGUAAUGCAUUGUGUUUUUGGUUCGUGUACAUUUACAGAGGCCUUAAAAGAGACAUUAGCUGAUUUUUCACAAUAACCCCAUAAUCGAGGCAGAUGAAAAACGGAGCCCUUUUAUUCCUAGGCCAAGACCCUUCUUACUCAGCCAUUGUCUCAUCUCAGGUUAUUAUACUCACAUCAUUCAUUUGUCAUUUUAGAAUAGUGAUUAAAGCACAGCUGUGUGCCUUGGUUAGUUUUAUUUUUUUCUUAACCAAUCUAAGCUUCCAUUUCCUCAUUUGUAAACUUAGGUUAACAAUAGUGCCUACAUCAUGAGCACUGGGUUUAGUCAGAUGAUCAAAGUCUUAGCACUGUGACUGCAAAUUGUAAGCACUCAAAAUAUUAGCCAUUAUUAAAACUAUCUUGUGGGCCAAUUCUUUUCCAGGCCCAGCUUUUCUCUUGUUGUCUUUCAGCAAAUAGAGAUAUAAAAUGGAAAACUUAGACUAAAACCAGCAGAACAAGAAGUAUCAAUGGCUGCACAAGGAAGUAAUGCAGACCUAUGCUAAAUUUUCUCUUGGUAAACACUUCCUUUUUCAUACCCCUCUCCCUUGAACUUUUUCACCUCCACUCCUACAAUUUUAUGUUAUGCAGAGUCAAAAAUAUAAUCAUCCUAAACUAGGCUCAGCAGUGUGGACAGUAACUGAUUGAAAUAUGAGGUUCUUUAAUUAGAAGCAGGAACUAGAGUAUAGUACUAAGAAUAAUGGUAAUAUAAUUAUUUGCAUCUUGUCUAACUUCCUCAUUUACACUGGCCUUCUUCAUUUCUAUCUCAUUCCCUGAUAAAUAUGGUAUCUCAAAGCCAAAUGUUUGGGACUCCAAUAUUAUCAUUGUGUUCACCUUCUUUACCCAUUAGGGCCUUUAUAUGAUAAUAAGUGUAAUAUGAUAUCCCCAAUGAAUGAGAUAGAGUGGCCCAUACAGGAGCGACCUCAAAGCACUUUUUCUGUACUGCAGAUGCAGUGCAAAAUUAGGAAUAUUAGGAAAAUUACGACUGCUUUCUUCAGAAAAUACUCAGGGCAAUAUUGUUGUGGAUAAUGGGAAAUAACUGGUGGUUUUUGAACAAGGAAAGUGAAUGUCGGUUAUAGUAUUGAAUAGAAUAGUGUUCUAGAAAUAGACAAUCUAUGUAGACCAGUAAGUCUGAAGUCAGGGUCACUGUGCAGCAACAGAGGACAUAAUCUGAG